rnacentral:rRNA from 1 species
GAUGAACGCUGGCGGCGUGCCUAAUACAUGCAAGUCGAGCGAACAGAUGAGGAGCUUGCUCCUCUGACGUUAGCGGCGGACGGGUGAGUAACACGUGGAUAACCUACCUAUAAGACUGGGAUAACUUCGGGAAACCGGAGCUAAUACCGGAUAAUAUAUUGCACCGCAUGGUUCAAUAGUGAAAGACGGUUUUGCUGUCACUUAUAGAUGGAUCCGCGCCUCAUUAGCUGGUUGGUAAGGUAACGGCCUACCAAGGGUACGAUGGGUAGCCGGCCUGAGAGGGUGACCGGCCAAAUUGGGACUGCGAUACGGCCCAGAGUCCUACGGGAGGCAGCGGUGGGGAAUAUUGCACAAUGGGCGGAAGCCUGAUGCAGCAACGCCGCGUGCGGGAUGACGGCCUUCGGGUUGUAAACCGCUUUCGCCUGUGACGAAGCGUGAGUGACGGUAAUGGGUAAAGAAGCACCGGCUAACUACGUG